rnacentral:snoRNA from 1 species
ACCCUUCAGGUUCCUAAGCCAUCAGCCCUAAACAUUGGUCGGAGUGGCUAUUAAAGGAGGAAAGGUGAAAAUGAAAUGGACCCUGAUUCUCCAAUGACACACAAUUGCAUCUCAAACAAAC